rnacentral:sRNA from 1 species
CUCUCACACAUGCCCUCCCUCGAUGGCCCCCAGCUCUUGUAGGACAAGCCCUCAUGGCAGAGCUAGAUGGCACCCUAGGGGCCAUACAGGUGUGUGCACUCCUUGCCUUGCAGAUGAGGAAGCUGAGCCCAGAGGAGGGGCUGACAUGGCUGAGUGGCUAGGUGGGAUCUGGAGCCUAGUGUCCUUGCCGUCUGGACUCCUCCCAGCAUAUCAUGCUGUGUCCUACUAAGGCUCCCAAAAUGGGGACAAACUUUUCAUCUUUCAGCUUCUCCCAGUGCACCUUGUUGCUGCCUAAGCCCUGACUCUCUGCUUAGGUUUCAAAAAAUGAGACAACUCAUGAGAGAAAAGAAAAUGGUCAGAUCCAUACUGUAUGGAAAAAUAUCUCUUUAUGUGUGUCAUCUCCUCGUUAGACUCCCAACAAAGCCUAUGCCAGCCUCUGUCUUACAGAGGAACAAACAGAGGCCAGGAGGUUACGUGGCUCAUCCAAGGCUAGACAGCAUUAAAAUGUGGUGGCACCAAGCGUCAACCUGGACCAGGCGUCAAAACUCAAGCUGUUCUACUUUUACCUUCACCUAAUCAUGUACAGUGAUUAUUCAUAUUGCAAACUCACAGUUUUAGUCUUACUGGAGGGGUGACACCUGGAUUACGGGACAACUACCACAGUAGAAGAGAUGAAAUUGCCCUUAAAAAUCUCCAGUCUGAUGUUACAGAGGCGAAAUCUGACUUCACCAAGGAGACCUUGGCAUCACAAAACACAAAAAUGAUUUCAUCCAUAGUCAUCUCCCAGAUGAUUGAUGAGAAUAAGUCAAGAGAAAACAGGGUCUCCUUGCCCCUACCGUGUGCGAUUGCUCAGUCUCGUGCAUACCACGCCAAGCAAUCUCUGGCUAACCGCAGCGGAGUCAACAUUCACAGAGCAUUUGCGUUACUUCCGGGCAGAUUAGGAAUCCCAGCACCCUCAGAUGAGCGAGGACCUGAGACAGAGCUGCCGCCCAAAGAGAAGAGCCCCUGUGGGGGGCCCCACAGAGGGUUUGCAUCCAUCACCAUCACGGCCAGACGCGUGGGCCCCCCAGCCCGCGCCCUGGUGUGGGGGACUGUUGGGGACUCUCUGUGCCCCAAGUGCAGGGCUGAGGACACACUGUUCCAGGCACCCCCGGCUCUGGCCAAUGGCGCCCAUCCAGGUCGGCAUCAGAGAUCUUUUGCCUGCACAGAGUUCUCCAGAAACAGCUCCGUGGUGCGGCUGAAGGUUCCCGAGGCCCACAUAGGGUUGUGUGAGAGACGCAAGUACUGGGUCACCCAUGAGGAUGACAAAGAGACCAGUUUUUCUCCAGACACCCCACUGUCAGGAAAGAGCCCGCUGGUGUUCAGUUCCUGUGUCCACCUCAGGGUGUCUCAGCAGUGUCCAAAUUCAAUCUAUUACGUAGACAAGUCUCUCUCCAUCCCCAUUGAGCCACCUCAAAAUGCCAGCCCCAAAAUGCACAGAUCCGUCCUGUCGCUCAACCUCAAUUGUAGUUCCCACAGAUUAACAGCAGAUGGAGUAGAUGGCCUAGUGAACAGAGAGCCAAUAAGCGGAGCCCUGAAGCAGGAGCUGGUGGAGGGAGACCAGGACCUCGUAGGCCAGCGCUGGAACCCAGGUUUACAAGAAAGUCACUUGAAGGAAACCCCAUCGUUGGGGCCGGUGCGUUUGGGGACCGGCGCUUGUCCAUGGAGUGGUUCUUUUCCAUUGGAAAACACAGAAUUGGCAAAUGUGGGAGCUAACCAAGUCACUGUAAGAAAAGGAGAAAAGGACCAUACAACUCACUGUCAUGCCAGCGGUCGUGCCAACAAACUGUCCAUUCACAUUCCUGGCUGGAGUUACAGGGCAGACUUAUUACAAGAAGGACAACAUAAGCAGCUAUCAGUGUUCCAAAGAUAAAUCCCACUUUAGUAGUUAAAGAGAUUGCUCAAGCUAAGCACUUCGUCCUCCUUAUUGAUGAUGAUUCCAGAAAUACACCACUGCAUUAUUGUAUGUUACCCCAGUUAAAGCACAUCCUCAUUUUU